ensembl:snRNA U6 U6 spliceosomal RNA
GUGCUUGCUUCAGCAGCACAUACACUAAAAUUGGAACGACACAGAGAAGAUUAGCAUGGCCCCUGCACAAGGAUGACACGCAAAUUCGUGAAGUGUUCCAUAUUAAA